AUUACAAAAAAAUAGUACACACUGCUGUGAGGGUGUUUCUGAUACAGCAGCUAUGGGAGUGACGGUGAGGACACGUUCGAGCUGCAUGCAGUGGAGCUGGAGUCCGUGGAGAAGCAGAUCCGAGAUCUACUGGAGAGGCAGGCCGAGCUACGGGAGCGGCAAAUAGUGCUGGAAACAUCCCGGGUUGAUGCUCACCAAUCCGCGAGAGUACAUCAGCUUCAGUCUGGAUCCAGCCUUUUAAGAAGACCUCAGAUGACCAACACCUUUGAAGAGACGGCGCCAACUCCUGCGAGGACUUCAGAUGACGCAAUAUCUGGAUCAACAUGAACAUUCCCAAAUUUCUAUAUAUCCUAAUUAUUGUUAAUAUGUAAUUCAUUAUUUCCAGGAGCUCAUUGCUUCUACCUUCAAUUAAACUGCUAACAGUGAUUGUAAAUUAAAUUACCUAAAUUAUUACAUUAUUAGCUAACUGCAAUUCUCUAAAUUGUAAUGUUGACAUGCAUUCUCUGUAAAGCUGCUUUGAAACGAUAUGUAUUGUGAAAAGCGCUAUACAAAUAAAUGUGAAUUGAAUUAGAACUGAACUAAUAAAAAAACAAUGGCUGAAAGGUUCUUUGGGGAACCCAAAAUGGUUCUUCUAUGGAAUCACGGUUAAAACAUAUUUUUAGAAUGUGUAUUUA